UUAAUUUGUAUCAUAGUAUUAUAAGGCCUGAUUUGUUCAUGUAUGUUUAUCUUAGGUGAUUUGUGGAUUUGGAAGGAUGGGUACAAUGUUUGGGUGCGACAAGUACAACAUAAAACCAGACCUUGUGUCCCUUGCAAAGGCCCUUUCUUCUGCAUAUAUGCCUAUUGGAGCUGUACUUGUGAGCCCCGAAGCAUCAGAAGUCAUACAUUCUCAAAGCAACAAACUCGG